AAGCAUCACGGCCAUUUGACAGUGGCCGAGACGGGUUUGUGAUAGGAGAAGGUUCUGGAGUCUUGGUCUUGGAGGAACUUGAGCAUGCUAAAAAUCGAGGAGCCAAAAUCUAUGCAGAGAUUCGUGGCUAUGGGAUGUCAGGGGAUGCAUAUCACAUUACUCAACCUCCUAGUGAUGGGAGAGGUGCCAUUCUGGCCAUGACUCGUGCUUUAAGAC